AUGAACGCUAGCUACAGGCUUAACACAUGCAAGUCGAGGGGCAUCAGGAAGAAAGCUUGCUUUCUUUGCUGGCGACCGGCGCACGGGUGAGUAACACGUAUCCAACCUGCCCUUUACUCGGGGAUAGCCUUUCGAAAGAAAGAUUAAUACCCGAUGGCAUAAUGAUUCCGCAUGGUUUCAUUAUUAAAGGAUUCCGGUAAAGGAUGGGGAUGCGUUCCAUUAGGUUGUUGGUGAGGUAACGGCUCACCAAGCCUUCGAUGGAUAGGGGUUCUGAGAGGAAGGUCCCCCACAUUGGAACUGAGACACGGUCCAAACUCCUACGGGAGGCAGCAGUGAGGAAUAUUGGUCAAUGGGCGCUAGCCUGAACCAGCCAAGUAGCGUGAAGGAUGAAGGCUCUAUGGGUCGUAAACUUCUUUUAUAUAAGAAUAAAGUGCAGUAUGUAUACUGUUUUGUAUGUAUUAUAUGAAUAAGGAUCGGCUAACUCCGUGCCAGCAGCCGCGGUAAUACGGAGGAUCCGAGCGUUAUCCGGAUUUAUUGGGUUUAAAGGGAGCGUAGGUGGACUGGUAAGUCAGUUGUGAAAGUUUGCGGCUCAACCGUAAAAUUGCAGUUGAUACUGUCAGUCUUGAGUACAGUAGAGGUGGGCGGAAUUCGUGGUGUAGCGGUGAAAUGCUUAGAUAUCACGAAGAACUCCGAUUGCGAAGGCAGCUCACUGGACUGCAACUGACACUGAUGCUCGAAAGUGUGGGUAUCAAACAGGAUUAGAUACCCUGGUAGUCCACACAGUAAACGAUGAAUACUCGCUGUUUGCGAUAUACAGUAAGCGGCCAAGCGAAAGCAUUAAGUAUUCCACCUGGGGAGUACGCCGGCAACGGUGAAACUCAAAGGAAUUGACGGGGGCCCGCACAAGCGGAGGAACAUGUGGUUUAAUUCGAUGAUACGCGAGGAACCGUACCCGGGCUUAAAUUGCAGUGGAAUGAUGUGGAAACAUGUCAGUGAGCAAUCACCGCUGUGAAGGUGCUGCAUGGUUGUCGUCAGCUCGUGCCGUGAGGUGUCGGCUUAAGUGCCAUAACGAGCGCAACCCUUAUCUUUAGUUACUAACAGGUUAUGCUGAGGACUCUAGAGAGACUGCCGUCGUAAGAUGUGAGGAAGGUGGGGAUGACGUCAAAUCAGCACGGCCCUUACGUCCGGGGCUACACACGUGUUACAAUGGGGGGUACAGAAGGCAGCUAGCGGGUGACCGUAUGCUAAUCCCAAAAGCCUCUCUCAGUUCGGAUCGAAGUCUGCAACCCGACUUCGUGAAGCUGGAUUCGCUAGUAAUCGCGCAUCAGCCACGGCGCGGUGAAUACGUUCCCGGGCCUUGUACACACCGCCCGUCAAGCCAUGGGAGCCGGGGGUACCUGAAGUACGUAACCGCAAGGAUCGUCCUAGGGUAAAACUGGUGACUGGGGCU
rnacentral:rRNA from 1 species